GACUUGUCAACUGCAUCAAUUGCGAUGUGGCUUGGAUGUGGGGGUUUUUGCAGGCUCUCUUUCAUGAGGUCGGCUCCCCUGAAAUGUAUUAGUGGUAUCUGAGCAGAACUACUACCGUCAGGUGUGAUAAAUUAUCUAUGCCUUUGGGUAUGCUGCAUCAACAGAUUGUGCUGCUCAUAACGAAACAAUUGUUUGACGA
rnacentral:misc_RNA from 1 species